UACGGAGGGUGCAAGCGUUAUUCGGAAUCACUGGGCGUAAAGGGCGCGUAGGCGGCCUGGUAAGUCAGGGGUGAAAUCCCACGGCUCAACCGUGGAAUUGCCUUUGAAACUGCUGGGCUUGGAUCCUGGAGAGGGUGGCGGAAUUCCUGGUGUAGGAGUGAAAUCCGUAGAUAUCAGGAGGAACACCGGUGGCGAAGGCGGCCACCUGGACAGGUAUCGACGCUGAGGCGCGAAAGUGUGGGGAGCAAACAGG
rnacentral:rRNA from 1 species